rnacentral:lncRNA from 1 species
AUCCUUAACUCAACCAGACCGGUGGGUUCCCUGUGUCUUUUUAGAUGCCACGAUUUCAGUUUGCAUUUUCCUUCAGCUUGAGGGCUGAGACAAAAAGCAAUGCUCUGCACGUUCCCCUCUGAGAGGUUUUGCUUUCUAUUCUCAAGCUAGUGGAAGGAGGUAGAGGCAAGGACCGUCCCCGUGUUGCCAAAUUUGGAGUCAUUUCCUCCUCCCAAGUGCUCAAGGCUGUUUGGAGCAGAGGUUGUACUUGAAGCUCAUGUGCAACCCUCAGCAAACUUUUCAUAAACAGGAAAGAGCCCCAGGGAGGAGGACAAGACAGAAAUCAGUUCUUCUCUGAUCUUUUGUUCUUCUCCCCUUUUUUGUCUUAAAACUAACAAUGCAUCACUUGCUUUGUUGUAUCAAGAGCUGCCAGAUGGAAGUAAAACUCCUUCCUUCAGGAGCAUGUGGCACUCUUCGGUGAGGCCUGCAGCAUGCAGCUUGCCUCUCGCUGUACGGAGGUAGCCAGGCUGUUUGCAGCUGAACAAAUGCCACCUACCGGACCCGCUCCCUGACUGCAACUGAAACACAUGCAAAAAUACAGCGUUUGAGAGAGGAAAGUAGGUACAAGCACAGCUGCUAUGGCAAAGACCCUGGGUCUGCGUUCAGGGCAUGUUAUCUCCCAGGCGGCUUCCCAGCCUGGAAGAGCAGAGGGAACACUACCAGGUGGACAAAAGCUGCUGGAGAACCCGGGUGUCAUUCCUCCACCAAGGAUCAGUGCCGUUGGCUGGAGGAGCCGGCAGGGAGCGAGAGUGAGAGCCAUGGGAAGGAGAGGAGAAAAUGUGUCCAUCUUGUCGAAACGGAGCAGGUUGCAGCUGUCUGCAGAGCCGUCUUGCGAAGUGACAAGGCACGGUAGUUGCAAAAUUUUGGGGGUAGCUACACCCCUCAGACAUUAUCAUGCAUGA